rnacentral:rRNA from 1 species
GACGAACGCUGGCGGCGUGCCUAAUACAUGCAAGUCGAGCGCAGGAAGCUGACGGAACUCUUCGGAGGGAAGGCAGUGGAAUGAGCGGCGGACGGGUGAGUAACACGUAAGGAACCUGCCUCAAGGAUUGGGAUAACUCCGAGAAAUCGGAGCUAAUACCGGAUAGUUCAACGGACCGCAUGGUCCGCUGAUGAAAGGCGCUCCGGCGUCACCUUGAGAUGGCCUUGCGGUGCAUUAGCUAGUUGGUGGGGUAAUGGCCCACCAAGGCGACGAUGCAUAGCCGACCUGAGAGGGUGAUCGGCCACACUGGGACUGAGACACGGCCCAGACUCCUACGGGAGGCAGCAGUAGGGAAUCUUCCACAAUGGACGAAAGUCUGAUGGAGCAACGCCGCGUGAGUGAUGAAGGUUUUCGGAUCGUAAAACUCUGUUGUAAGGGAAGAACACGUACGAGAGGAAAUGCUCGUACCUUGACGGUACCUUACGAGAAAGCCACGGCUAACUACGUGCCAGCAGCCGCCGUAAGAC